rnacentral:rRNA from 1 species
CCCUUAGAUGUUCUGGGCUGCACGCGCGCUACACUGAUGCACUCAACGAGUUUACGACCUUGCCCGAUAGGGUUGGGUAAUCUUUUUAAAAUGCAUCGUGAUGGGGAUAGAUUAUUGCAAUUAUUAAUCUUCAACGAGGAAUUCCUAGUAAGCGCGAGUCAUCAGCUUGCGUUGAUUACGUCCCUGCCCAUUGUACACACCGCCCGUCGCUCCUACCGAUUGAAUGGUCCGGUGAAGCGUUUGGACUAUGGUUUUCUGACGGUUCGCCAUUGGAUUACCGUGGGAAAUUCGUUAAACCUUAUCAUUUAGAGGAAGGAGAAGUCGUAACA